rnacentral:rRNA from 1 species
UUUUAUGAGAGUUUGAUCCUGGCUCAGGACGAACGCUGGCGGCGUGCCUAAUACAUGCAAGUCGAACGCAUUUUCUUCCACCGUAGCUUGCUACACCGGAAGAAAAUGAGUGGCGAACGGGUGAGUAACACGUGGGUAACCUGCCCAUCAGCGGGGGAUAACACUUGGAAACAGGUGCUAAUACCGC